rnacentral:rRNA from 1 species
UACAGAGGGUGCGAGCGUUGUCCGGAAUCACUGGGCGUAAAGGGCGCGUAGGCGGUUUCUUAAGCGUGUGGUGAAAGCCCGGGGCUCAACCCCGGGUCGGCCAUGCGAACUGGGGGACUGGAGCCUGUCAGAGGCAAGCGGAAUUCCGGGUGUAGCGGUGGAAUGCGUAGAGAUCCGGAAGAACACCGGUGGCGAAGGCGGCUUGCUGGGACAGUGCUGACGCUGAGGCGCGACAGCGUGGGGAGCAAAC